UACAGAGGGUGCAAGCGUUAAUCGGAAUUACUGGGCGUAAAGCGUGUGUAGGUGGUUAGAUAAGUUAGAUGUGAAAUCCCCGGGCUUAACCUGGGCUCUGCGUUUAAAACUGUUUAACUAGAGUGCUGUAGAGGGUAGUGGAAUUUCCAGUGUAGCGGUGAAAUGCGUAGAUAUUGGAAGGAACACCAGUGGCGAAGGCGACUACCUGGACAGACACUGACACUGAGACACGAAAGCGUGGGGAGCAAACAGG
rnacentral:rRNA from 1 species